rnacentral:rRNA from 1 species
AACGAACGCUGGCGGCAUGCCUAACACAUGCAAGUCGAACGAGACCUUCGGGUCUAGUGGCGCACGGGUGCGUAACGCGUGGGAACCUGCCCUUAGGUUCGGAAUAACUCCCCGAAAGGGGUGCUAAUACCGGAUAAUGUCUUCGGACCAAAGAUUUAUCGCCUUUGGUUGGGCCCGAGUUGGAUUAGCUGGUUGGUAGGGUAAAAGCCUACCACGGCGAGGAUCCAUAGCUGGUCUGAGAGGCUGAUCAGCCACACUGGGAGUGAGAAACGGCCGAGACUCCUACGGGAGGCAGGAGUGGGGGAUAUAGGACCAUGGGCGGAAGCAUGAAGCAGCUAGGCCGGGAGAGUGAUGAAGGCCUUAGGGUUGUAAAGCUCUUUUACCCGGGAUGAUAAUGACAGUACCGGGAGAAUAAGCUCCGGCUAACUCCGUG